rnacentral:rRNA from 1 species
AGGACGAACGCUGGCGGCGCGCUUAACACAUGCAAGUCGAGCGAGAACCGGUCCUUCGGGACCGGGGAAAGCGGCGAACGGGUGAGUAACACGUGGGUAAUCAACCCUUGACUCUGGGAUAGCCCGGGGAAACUCGGAUUAAUACCGGAUGGCCCAACAGCUCUUCGGGGCGGUUGGAAAAGGUAGCUUCGGCCUCCGGUCAGGGACGAGCCCGCGGCGGAUUAGCUUGUUGGUGAGGUAACGGCUCACCAAGGCGACGAUCCGUAGCUGGUCUGAGAGGACGAUCAGCCACACUGGGACUGAGACACGGCCCAGACUCCUACGGGAGGCAGCAGUGGGGAAUCUUGCACAAUGGGCGAAAGCCUGAUGCAGCGACGCCGCGUGAGGGAAGAAGGCUUCGGGUUGUAAACCUCUUUCAGAAGGGACGAAGCUCCUCGGGUUAAUAGCCCAGAGGGUGACGGUACUUCAGAAGAAGCCCGGCUAACUACGCGCCAGCAGCCGC